rnacentral:rRNA from 1 species
GGAGAGUACGAGCAAUAGCUUAAAAACUAAAGAAUAUGGCGGUGUUUUAUUCGAUCAGGGUGACAUGUAUCUUAAUUUGAUAGUCCACGGUUUUUAAGCCUGAUUUUGAAAUUCAGCAUGUGUACUGCCGUUUUACAUAGUUUUAAAAAAUUGUGUAUAAUAUAUGAAUUUUCAUAUAGUUAGUCAGGUCAAAGCGCAGUCUAUAGUCAGGUGAGAUUGUGUUACAUUUAUUUAAACAUUCAAUUUAUUGAUUUAAAUUUUAAUAAGAAGAAGAACUUGAUAGUA